GCCUGGGUGGCUUAGUUGGUUGAGCGUCUGACUUCGGCUUGGGUCAUGAUCUCUCAUAGCUCGUGGGUUCGAACCCCGCGUCGGGCU
rnacentral:tRNA from 1 species